UCCACCCGCCCUCCGCGUGGUCACUGGGCACGCGCACGCACGCGCGCACGCGCGCGGCUGGGGGCCCCCCAAAGCUUGGUGCGCACUUCUGCUGCUGUUGCUGCUGCUGCAUCCACAUCCCGGCAGUGGAGACCUGGACCUUAGUUACCUGGGGAGCGUGAGAGUCAUGCCGCAUAAUGAGCUGGCGUUGGUCAGCGGAGUCGGAAUUCUGGCCACAAGCGAACAACUGUCUUUGGCUUCCUUGGCGGGACAAGUGAAGGGCUGUGAAGGAACGCAAGAUAAUAACAAGAACCAAUAAAUCGCUUAGACACAUAAAACUGUGAGUCCUCUGAAUCACCAGCCAGUGUGAACAAAGUCCAGCGUUGUCAGCAGGGGGUCCUCUGCUGCUGUGACAUGCCAUGCCUUCAGCUGGACUAGGAGCCUCGGAGUGGACUGGGAGUCAUGUUCAUAGAAGGAUAGCAAUGGGAUCCUGACUUAAUGUUUGCCCAGACCCUACAAUGAACUCGGCACCCAGGAAGCAUGCAGUGAUACUGAUUCAACUGAACUAUGAUCAUCUUCGUUGGUCACCCAAUCCUCCCUGCUACCCGCUCUGACUCAGGACUCGGGGCUCCUGGGUGUUCUAGGCUGGGUAGUACCCUAAAGGAUGAUGGUCUCCGGCUUCCAGGGCCUCCCGCCGGCAGGGGCUCCAGGAUGUUGCUGGGAAUGUAACCAGUCUGUCCUGCCUCAUUCUGCACCAGCCACCAACGCUUGCUCUGGUCCAGAACCUGACAAGAGUCACCCCGUCGUCAGCCCCCAGAGCCCUAUCCUCCCAUCCCCUCUCUCCCCAAGGCUUUGUCCUUCCCUGGUAUUCCCACUUUCCUGUUCUCUCUGUAAGCCACCCACUCCAGGCCACUGGAUCGCCCACCAACCACCUCUUUUUUCUGGAUUCACGCAUAGGCCUCACCUCCAGAACCUCUCCCUGGGCCACAGUCAGUUCCUGUGCAUUCCUUGCUUCAAACUCAUACAGGACUUGCAUUUUCAGGGCCGGUUUGGCAGGCCUGGGGCUGGAGGCUGGGAGGUGUGAGUCCUCAUGUUCGGAGCUGUGGUUGUAUGGCUCAUCCUGAGGAAAACGCAGACUGCUGCUCCUCCUAGAGUUGAGAACGUUUCCACCAGUGGGAUUUCCUGGAUCUUGAUUCUGCUCUGAGCACUUUAUACCUGAACUGUGAGGACUAGAGGCUACAUGAAGAAGCAUUUCAGAGGCUAGGAGGCUGGCAGUCCUGAUGAAUAAGCACUCUACAACCUAACAUGGAUACUCCUUAUUAAAGGGCCUGAAUUGAAAGCACUCGAGGCCUUGUCUCGGGCCACCGGAGUCUUGCUAGGACUGCAUGUCAGAGCUAUCCCUAUGGGUGAUGUAAGCCCAGUGCAGCUCCAGGAUCUGUUAGAAGAGGUCCAGAAUUUAUAAAUUCCUUCAUCUUAGUGACUAGACAAAUAAAGCACAUAAAAUAGAUCAUCUGGGUAUGAACAACCCAAAUGCCCACUGAUGAAUAAAGGCUAGACAAAAUGUGACUUGUCCAUAGGAUGGAAUAUUAGUCAUUCACAAUUCUGACACAUGCUAUAACAUGGAUGGAUUCUGAGGACAUACCGAUAAAAUCAGCUGGUCAUGAAAGGAUGAACCAUGUCUUAUUUCACUUACAUGAAGGACCUGGACUAGGCAAACUGAUAUGGACAUAGAGCAAAGGUAGCCAGGGGGUGACCACAGGGGAAAUGGGGAAUUAUUCUUUAGCAGGUAUAGCCUUUCUGUUUGGGGUGAGAAACUUCUGGAGCUAGGAGUGGUAUUGGUACACAGUGUUGAGAGAUACUUAGUGCUACUGAAUUAUACACUGAAAUCUGUACAUUAUCGUGUUGUGUGUAUUCUACCAUCAAAAUAAGUAGGCUGCACUGAAACUAUUCAUGUCUUUAAGCAAACUGGACAGAACUUCACAUGGGCCUGAGUUAAAAAGAACUGCUCUUUAGGCAAAC